rnacentral:rRNA from 1 species
GACGAACGCUGGCGGCGUGCUUAACACAUGCAAGUCGAACGGAAAGGCCCUGCUUUUGUGGGGUGCUCGAGUGGCGAACGGGUGAGUAACACGUGAGUAACCUGCCCUUGACUUUGGGAUAACUUCAGGAAACUGGGGCUAAUACCGGAUAGGAGCUCCUGCUGCAUGGUGGGGGUUGGAAAGUUUCGGCGGUUGGGGAUGGACUCGCGGCUUAUCAGCUUGUUGGUGGGGUAGUGGCUUACCAAGGCUUUGACGGGUAGCCGGCCUGAGAGGGUGACCGGCCACAUUGGGACUGAGAUACGGCCCAGACUCCUACGGGAGGCAGCAGUGGGGAAUAUUGAACAAUGGGCGGAAGCCUGAUGCAGCAACGCCGCGUGCGGGAUGAAGGCCUUCGGGUUGUAAACCGCUUUCGCCUGUGACGAAGCGUGAGUGACGGUAAUGGGUAAAGAAGCACCGGCUAACUACGUG